rfam:Hepacivirus hominis isolate G1_bcn_new, complete genome
CCAAUUCCGUCUGCGUCCCUGCUGGAUUUAUCCAGUUGGUUCGUUGCCGGGUACAGCGGGGGAGACAUAUAUCACAGCGUGUCUCGAGCCCGGCCCCGCCUGUUAAUGUUUAGCCUACUCCUACUCUUGGUAGGGGUAGGCAUCUUCCUGCUCCCUAACCCGUAAUCAGCAUCGUG